GCAGACGGGUGAGUAACGCGUGGGAAUCUACCCAUCUCUACGGAAUAACUCAGGGAAACUUGUGCUAAUACCGUAUACGCCCUUUUGGGGAAAGAUUUAUCGGAGAUGGAUGAGCCCGCGUUGGAUUAGCUAGUUGGUGGGGUAAUGGCCUACCAAGGCGACGAUCCAUAGCUGGUCUGAGAGGAUGAUCAGCCACACUGGGACUGAGACACGGCCCAGACUCCUACGGGAGGCAGCAGUGGGGAAUAUUGGACAAUGGGCGCAAGCCUGAUCCAGCCAUGCCGCGUGAGUGAUGAAGGCCCUAGGGUUGUAAAGCUCUUUCAACGGUGAAGAUAAUGACGGUAACCGUAGAAGAAGCCCCGGCUAACUUCGUGCCAGCAGCCGCGGUAAUACGAAGGGGGCUAGCGUUGUUCGGAAUUACUGGGCGUAAAGCGCACGUAGGCGGAUACUUAAGUUAGGGGUGAAAUCCCAGAGCUCAACUCUGGAACUGCCUUUAAUACUGGGUAUCUCGAGUCCGGAAGAGGUGAGUGGAAUUCCGAGUGUAGAGGUGAAAUUCGUAGAUAUUCGGAGGAACACCAGUGGCGAAGGCGGCUCACUGGUCC
rnacentral:rRNA from 1 species